UGUUCUUUAGAUACUGUUGUUAAAGAAAAACUCUGUGAGGAGUUUUUCUCAUUGGAAAGAUGAGAAGAAACCAGCUAUGUGAAGAGACCAUGGAAGAUCCAUUCAGGCUAUCAGUCUGGGGCAGCUGACCAUACCAAAGGAGGGAGACUCCGUGGAGUGUUCAAAUAAAGCCAGAUAUGCCGCAAUGAACAGUAUGGGAGUGUGGUAUUCAGUGAAGGGGGAGAAUAGGGGCAGAUUGCCCAGGUUUAUGUUAGCCAAGAGAAAGAGUUUGGAUUUAGUCUCAGUGCAUUGUAUUAAAGGGUGUUGCAUAGGUAGAUGACAUGAUCUAAGAUAUCUUUUAUAAAGGUCAUUCUUGUGCUGUUUGGGUAAUAAAGAGGGUAAAGUUAAACAGGAAGUCUAGUUAGAAAGGUAAUUCAAUAAUUCUGUUGAGAAGUGAUGGCAGUGUGUAUUGGAAAAGGCAGUGGAAAGACGUGAAUGAAUGUAGAGUAUAUUUUGGAGUUUAUAACUGAAAGAAUUUGUCAUUAGAAUGGAUAGGUGGGGGUUAGAGAAAGGAAAGAAUCACUAACAAUUUCUAGAAUUCUAUGUUAGGUAAUUGGAUGGGUGGAAGUGAAAUGAAGCAGACGAGUUGAUAUCAGGGUUGAGUGAAGAAGUGGAGGUGAAGAGUUCUCUUUCAGACCUGUUAACUAUGAGAUGUCAGUGGGACAUUUGGGAGAAGGUGUGAAGUAGGCAUUUGGAUAUACACACAAGUCCAGAGUUCAGAUGAUAGGGCUGGGCUGGAGAUACAAGCUCAUCAGCUGCGAGUGAGUGAAGGGCCGAGGGAACGGGGAGUCUGAAGAGAGAAGAGAAAGUCUGAAAUGAUUAUCUUGCAAAACGAAGAGUAAGUUUACUGAAAGGACAGCACAGAAUAGCUAAGCAGUGAAGAAAGCCCGACAGAAACACUGGGAAAACAUACCCAUGCCCCCUUGAUCAUUUUUAGCUUAACAAUGGUAUAUACCUGUUGCUAUACCCAAGUAGGUCUCCAGGACGCAGAAAGGAAGGGGAGGGACUCCUGACCUAGGAGAGAGAACUGAGAAGCUCCACUACAAGGACUUAGUAAUAAAGGGAGAUAGAGUUUCUUUCUCUUGGUGCUCUUAGAGGGGACUGUGAGGGUUCUGAAAAACAAUAGGCAACCCCUUUACAUUUCUAUGUAAAGGAGUAACACAUGAGAACCUCAUGGAAGUGCCUGAAUCUUUAUAUCUGGCACAUGUUAGUUGGUCUCAUUACCCAACUUCUUUCUUUCCAUUAAUUAGUGGUUUAAAAUUUCUUAAAGUGAGAUGCAUUGCAUAUGCUUCAGAAACAGUGAGGAAAUAGAGAGCUAAUCUCGGGGGGUGCUGGGGGAUGACGUCAGUGGGUGAACUUCAAUCAUUUAUAGCCUGUUUCUAUUCUCCUCCGUCCACUCAAAUGGCUUGCCUGAGUCAAACACUCUGCAACGUGAAGCAAUUAAAAAAGAAAAAAAAGCCUAGUUACUGCAUGCACUGACCAAAGAAAAGAUAGAAAAGGCAGCCAUCUCCCAGCCCCCUUUCCUGUUAUGAGCCCCUAACUAAAUAAACGACCCUCACAGGUCUAAGCUUAAACAGAUCUGAAGAAAGAGGCGAUGAGGGCCACAGGAGAAGUAGGAAUUUCAGGUCUUCACCCUGACAGGACGGAUCUAAUGCCAGCCACAGCACCCAAGGACAAGACCAGUGCUCAGACAUUCUCGACGCCCCCUCUUCAAACCCCAACUCUUAGUUUACUUCUGGGGAUGUUCAGUAAACCAAAACAUUCUUCUGCUGAGUCACAUGGACCACAGAAAAUUGUUUUGAACUCAUGAAGCCUUUGGAGCCACUAUUGGAAGCUUAGGCAAUGCAAUGGCCUUGAUUUCUGUCUUUUCCCAUGAGACAAAAUAUCUACCAAGAAGAUCCCCCACACACGGAGCACAAAGUGAAACUGCUUCAUCUUGUUCUUCUUAACUCUCAAGGUGACCCUUAGAUGGCUGCCCAGCAUUUUACAUCAAACAGCUCUACAGGAGACACAGCCUGGAAAGUCUGCUAUUCUAGCCUAGCAAUCUGGGCUGAAGGACAAGGACCAACUGGAAUGACCAACGGAAAACCCCAUCAUCUGUGUCUGGAGACACAGACAGGAAAGACCCCAGACCCAUAGCCAUUCUAUCCACUCUUGCCUGGAUACUUUCCAGUUUAUAAACACCGAACUUACACUGUAGCAUCAGAACCAAGACUUACUCCAG